UACGAAGGGGGCUAGCGUUGUUCGGAAUUACUGGGCGUAAAGCGCGUGUAGGCGGGUCUUUAAGUCAGGGGUGAAAUGCCAAGGCUCAACCUUGGAACUGCCUUUGAUACUGGAGACCUUGAGUCCGGGAGAGGUGAGUGGAAUUGCGAGUGUAGAGGUGAAAUUCGUAGAUAUUCGCAAGAACACCAGUGGCGAAGGCGACUUUCUGGUCUGUAACUGACACUGAGGCGCGAAAGCGUGGGGAGCAAACAGG
rnacentral:rRNA from 1 species